UAUAGGUUUGGUCCCAGCCUUCCUGUUAACUUUCAAUAGACUUAUACAUGCAAGCAUCCACGCCCCGGUGAGUAACGCCCUUCGAAUCACACAGGACUAAAAGGAGCAGGUAUCAAGCACACACUCUUGUAGCUCACAACGCCUUGCUUAACCACACCCCCACGGGAGACAGCAGUAACAAAAAUUAAGCCAUAAACGAAAGUUUGACUAAGCCAUAUUGACCAGGGUUGGUAAUCUCGUGCCAGCCACCGCGGUCAUACGAUUGACCCAAGCUAACAGGAGUACGGCGUAAAGCGUGUUAAAGCAUCAUACUAAAUAGAGUUAAAUUUUAAUUAAACUGUAAAAAGCCAUAAUUAUAACAAAAAUAAAUGACGAAAGUAACCCUACAAUAGCUGAUACACCAUAGCUAAGACCCAAACUGGGAUUAGAUACCCCACUAUGCU
rnacentral:rRNA from 1 species